rnacentral:rRNA from 1 species
AUUGAACGCUGGCGGCAUGCCUUACACAUGCAAGUCGAACGGCAGCACGGGUGCUUGCACCUGGUGGCGAGUGGCGAACGGGUGAGUAAUACAUCGGAACAUGUCCUGUAGUGGGGGAUAGCCCGGCGAAAGCCGGAUUAAUACCGCAUACGAUCUACGGAUGACAGCGGGGGACCUUCGGGCCUCGCGCUAUAGGGUUGGCCGAUGGCUGAUUAGCUAGUUGGUGGGGUAAAGGCCUACCAAGGCGACGAUCAGUAGCUGGUCUGAGAGGACGAUCAGCCACACUGGGACUGAGACACGGCCCAGACUCCUACGGGAGGCAGCAGUGGGGAAUUUUGGACAAUGGGCGAAAGCCUGAUCCAGCAAUGCCGCGUGUGUGAAGAAGGCCUUCGGGUUGUAAAGCACUUUUGUCCGGAAAGAAAUCCUUGGCCCUAAUACGGUCGGGGGAUGACGGUACCGGAAGAAUAAGCACCGGCUAACUACGUG